AUACGGAGGGUGCGAGCGUUACUCGGAGUCACUGGGCGUAAAGCGUCCGUAGGCGGUCGGGUAAGUCGGGUGUGAAAGCCCCGGGCUCAACCUGGGAAGUGCACCCGAUACUGCUCGACUCGAGUGCGGGAGAGGCUGGCGGAAUUCCCGGUGUAGCGGUGAAAUGCGUAGAGAUCGGGAGGAACACCAGUGGCGAAGGCGGCCAUCUGGCCCGCAACUGACGCUGAGGGACGAAAGCGUGGGGAGCAAACAGGAUUAGAAACCCUAGUAGUCC
rnacentral:rRNA from 1 species